UACAGAGGUCUCAAGCGUUGUUCGGAUUCAUUGGGCGUAAAGGGUGUGUAGGUGGCGCGCUAAGUCGGGUGUGAAAUUUCGGAGCUUAACUCCGAAACUGCAUUCGAUACUGGCGUGCUUGAGGACUGGAGAGGAGACUGGAAUACUUGGUGUAGCAGUGAAAUGCGCAGAUAUCAGGAGGAACACCAAUUGCGAAGGCAGCUCGCUGGGACGUAACUGACGCUGAGACGCGAAAGCGUGGGGAGCAAACAGG
rnacentral:rRNA from 1 species